rnacentral:tRNA from 1 species
AAUUUUAUAGUUUAUAAAAUAAAAUAUUAAAUUGCAAAUUUAAAGAAAUUUAAUUUAAAUUAAAAUAU